UUGAUCCUGGUUAGAAAAGACGAUUCUGAAGAUACUUAGGGCAUAAAAAACUUUAUAGAUUAAAACCAGCAGUUUUUAAUUUUAUCUAGAAAUCUAUCAACACCAAAAACAGCAAUAAAAUAUGUUCCUGACAAUGGGUGCCAGCCAGCAUGUUGGCUGUUGCAUUCUGAACUAGUAGUGGAUCUUCAAAGCCCAUCUGAUAGGCGUGGCAGAGUGGAUUGCCAUGCCUCAGCUGUUUUACUCACUGGGGUUGCAGUAGAAGCUAAAAAAAAAAUCUCACUGCAAAGAGCUACCGAAG